rnacentral:rRNA from 1 species
CCCUUAGAUGUUCUGGGCCGCACGCGCGCUACACUGAAGGGAUCAGCGUGUUUUCCCUUUCCGAGAGGAACGGGUAACCCGCUGAACCCCCUUCGUGGUAGGGAUCGGAGCUUGCAAUUGCUCUCCGUGAACCAGGAAUUCCCAGUAAGCGCAUGUCAUAAGCUUGCGUUGAUUACGUCCCUGCCCUUUGUACACACCGCCCGUCGCUACUACCGAUUGAACGUUUUAGUGAGGUAUUUGGACUGGGCCUUGGGAGGUUUCGGCCUCCCUUGUUGCUCGGAAAGACUCCCAAACUUGAGCGUUUAGAGGAAGUAAAAGUCGUAACA